GUCUCUGCAGCAUGUAGGUGGUGCAGGUAUCAUUGCCAGAAUGAUCCAGCUUUGUUGCAUUGCUCGGCAAAAAUACUCUGUUUCUGCACACCUGUCUCUCGUCCACAUUGAUACAAAUCAAAAAUUGGGUACUAAGGUACUAAGAUGUAUAAUGUCUCCAUCAAAUCUAAGAAGUUAUUUUAACUUUUUUAUUCUUACUUAUUCCUUGACAAAUGUUCAAUGAUGUAUGAAAUUGGAGUUGUUCUUCAUCAACUGGUAAUUCAUAAAUAAUGAAGCAGGUUAAUAGGGUAAACAUUUGACUUUUAAUUCCAAUGCUUUUUUUCAAGAUAUAACAGGUAAGUAUAUUAUUUUUUAUACAUAUUGCAUAUUUCCCAUCACCGAAUGAACAACCACAAUACCAGUCUGGUGUUAAGCUUUCUGUGCUGUGUUGACAUAUCCUGAAUAUGACAUCUGCUGCUUUAGAUUGAACAGUCAUACUGUAUCUCAGUUAUUGUUUUCAUAUCUACAUAGAAGAAGCUAUUUUCUUUACUUUUAGAGUGUGAGCUGAUCAAGAGGUCAAAAAUGUAGAUAUUGCCAGAUGUUCACUGUCCGAGGAACAGGCUGUGGAACCUUUAUUGCUGGCAAAAGUGUCCAUAACCAGAGGUAAUUAAACUGUUCUGUGUUCUUUUUCUCUCUUCCUCGCUGCCUGUCUUGUUGUACAUGGAACCUGUUUCACAUGCACAGUUUGGAGGAAGAAGGAUACACUGCCUCAUCUGUGGGCAGAUCUGCAGCAUUUUACAGAGAUCUGGAAUAAUCACCCUUUAAGUGCAGAGCUGAACUUGACACCUCACCAGCUGCAUAUCAGAAUGCACAUUUUUGUUUUUGCCUUAUCACUACACAGCUGAUUCAAAUGAUCAAGUCAUCAUCAAGCUUCAAGUGGUUAUAUUAGCUGUGUUGGUUAACCCCUCCCGCAUCUGAACUGGCUGACACAGAGGGCACAGAAUGAUCAUAGGUAUGUUUUGAUGUGAGAGAGGAAGCCAGUCCUGUCAUCGCCACCUCACCUGCUCUUAAGAUAACCUUCAGGUCAACUGGGGGCCCAAGGCUGGUUAGGAGACACCGCUAGAGACACUGUAAUUGUGAUGAACUGGGAGAAUAUUAGGGUAGCAAUGUAAUUUGUUAAUCAUAUGCUGUCUGCCUCUGUUCUUACCUCUUUCCCUUUCUGUCUUCUACACCUCUCCACACCUCGUCUUUCUCCUCAUUUUAUAAUGCACACCAUAUGUGCAUUGAAGUACAGAUUGAACUUGUAUUUAUAAUAUAACAUUACAAUGAUCAUAAUUAUAACACCUGUAUAAUGAACUUUUUUCAAUAAAGUGUUUCACAUUC